rnacentral:rRNA from 1 species
AUUGAACGCUAGCGGGAGGCUUAACACAUGCAAGUCGAACGAGUGGCGGACGGGUGAGUAAUGUCUCGGAAACUGCCCAAUAGCUGGGGAUAACUACUCGAAAAAGUAGCUAAUACCGCAUACUAUUGGAUGUGCCGAUAUGGGAUUAGCUAGUUGGUGGGGUAAAGGCUCACAAAGGCAACGAUCCCUAGCUGGGUUGAGAGGAGGACCAGCCACACUGGGACUGAGACACGGCCCAGACUCCUACGGGAGGCAGCAGUGGGGAAUAUUGCACAAUGGGCGCAAGCCUGAUGCAGCCAUGCCGCGUGUAUGAAGAAGGCCCUAGGGUUGUAAAGUACUUUCAGCCGGGAGGCGUUACCGACAGAAGAAGCACCGGCUAACUCCGUGCCAGCAGCCGCGGUAAUUC